rnacentral:lncRNA from 1 species
CGCGCGGCCACCAUGACGGGAAGGUAACAGAUGCCUUAAGUUAAGGGUGGAGGGUGACAUGGUCCCGGAGAGAUGUGGGGAAGCGGAUCGUGGCGGGAGGUCCCGCGGACUCAUUGCUUCCAGGCUGCGACCCCUCUGGGAAUGAGAAGGUCGGACAGGGGGACCCAUUCUCUUCUUUGAGAGAAUGUGUGGGCUUUGGCAGGUGUAGUUUUAUCGCCAGUGAUCCCAGACCAGGGACUUGUCUGAGGUCACCAGCCAACUGAAGCUUUAAAACGUAGCUGGAGAGCACUGGGCUCUCCUGGCAACCUGCGGUGGGAUCCUGGGUAAUAUUCACUCUAGAACCUUCUACUGCCUUCUCUGUAAACCAGAGGUAAAGGAUGAUUAGGUACCUGUGGAGAACUGUCUCUAAACCCUGAGUGUAGAGGCUGGGUGAGGGGCAGAGAAUAUCCCUCCAGCCUGCCCCGGUUAAAGAUCUCGGUCUCUUUGUACAGGUUCAAGACAAUCCAGGUUCCAGAGGUGGGUCACAGGUCCAUAAGAGUCCGGCCGGUUUUGGCCUCUGCAGUUGCUUCUGGAACGUGGCUGGGUACAUUGUGUGGCUCAAAGCUGGGCUGGAAGGGGUGGUCUUGGGGUUCAGGACUCUCUUCUCGCUAAAGGCUGGUGGGAAAGCUUUCUCUGCGCAGCACCUUGCUGCACUGCUGCUCCUGGGGAGCCCUGUCCCUUUUGCAAUCUUCUUUGGGAAAGGGUCCCCGGUCCUGGGAGUCAGGGCAAUACCCAGUGGUUGUGGGGUAGUGGC